UUCGUAUUUCCCAAUUCGACGCUGUACAUCCGUUCUUUGUAAGCAUCUCUCUCUCCUGCUGCGCAAGUCCACGCCAAGAUCUGAGUAUCUGACUAUCUGGGCUGCUCCCAAACUGUUUUACCUCAUGGCCGGUCCUAGAAGUAGUUAUGGAAAGCGUUCCCACUCUCAAUCUGACUAUGAGAAUGGAGGAAAUAAAAGGAGAAAUCCAGGUGAUGAAAGAGAGCAGUUUAUAAUUGAUCCAGAAGAUACUGUAUACCGUUAUUUAUGCCCUGUUCGAAAGAUUGGUAGUGUUAUUGGUAGGGGAGGUGAGAUUGUUAAACAAUUAAGGAUAGACACUAAAUCUAAAAUUAGGAUUGGUGAGACUGUGCCUGGAUGUGAAGAGCGUGUUAUUACAAUCUACAGCUCCGGUGAUGAGACUAAUGCCUUUGAGGAUAGUGGUAAUUUUGUAUCACCAGCACAGGAUGCUCUGUUCAAGGUGCAUGACAGAGUGGUUGCUGAAGAGGGGCAUGGUGAUCAGGAGACCGAAGGAGGUCAUCAAGCCACUGCUAAGCUUCUUGUACCUUCUGAUCAAAUAGGUUGUGUGAUUGGAAAAGGUGGUCAGAUUGUUCAGAGCAUCCGUAGUGAUACUGGGGCCCAGAUACGAAUACUAAAGGAUGAACAUUUGCCUCCUUGUGCCUUGAACUCCGAUGAACUUGUGCAGAUAUCUGGUGAUGCUGCAACUGUGAAGAAGGCUCUAUAUCAGAUUGCAUGUCGACUUCAUGACAACCCAUCACGGUCUCAGACUCUUCUUACCUCUGCAAUGCCUGGUGUAUAUCCUACGAGUGGUUCGCUGGUUGGCCCAACUGCUGGAGGUCCAAUUGUGGGAAUAGCUCCUCUUGUGGGUCAUUAUGGGGGAUAUAAAGGUGAUACUGGAGACUGGCCAAGAUCCUUGUACCCAGCACCAAGGGAUGAAACAUCUUCAAAGGAAUUUUCGGUUCGUUUGGUUUGUCCAACUGGAAACAUUGGAGGUGUAAUAGGCAAAGGUGGUGCUAUAAUAAAUCAAAUCAGGCAGGAUUCUGGGGCAACAAUUAAGGUUGAUAGCUCUGCAACAGAAGGAGAUGAUUGCCUUAUAAUUAUUUCAACAAAGGAGUUCUUUGAAGAAACAUUUUCUCCAACCAUUGAAGCAGCUGUACGUUUACAGCCCCGGUGCAGUGAGAAGGUUGAGAGAGAUUCAGGAAUUAUCUCAUUCACAACACGGUUGCUGGUGCCAACCUCCCGAAUUGGUUGCCUUAUUGGUAAAGGAGGAGCUAUCAUAACUGAGAUGAGGAGGCUGACAAAAGCUAACAUCCGCAUCCUGUCAAAGGAAAGUCUUCCUAAAAUAGCAUCUGAAGAUGAUGAAAUGGUGCAGAUUUCCGGAGACCUUGAGCUUGCAAAGGAUGCUCUUGUGCAAGUACUUACACGGUUAAGAGCAAAUCUUUUUGACAGGGAGGGGGCUGUUUCUGCAUUCCUUCCAGUUCUGCCGUAUCUUCCUGUUCCUGCUGAUGGUCCGGAUGGUUUAAGUUAUGAUGCUAGAGAUGGUAAAAGGCAUGGGCGAGGACAUUCUUAUUCAAGUGGAUAUGGUGGUUCUAGUGAUUUAACUGCUGGUGAUGGCUAUGGAAGCUAUGGUAGUUCCCAGGUACUCUAGGCAUAAGCAAUUGUGAAGUUAUGUGUAAGUUCUUCAUGUUAAUUUAUUUCUGAUUCGACAAUUGCAAAAUUGUUCCAUUCAUUUGUAGUUUGGUGGUAGCGCUGCUUACGGGGCUUAUGGAAGUUAUUCUUUGGGACGGACUGGCACUUCUGGGUUGUCUAGUCACCACAGUGUUUCUCGGAGGAGAAACCAUGCUUACUAAAAAUUGUUCAUGGUUACCCGCAGCUGAGAUAUGUGAAGCCUGAAGCCUGCCUACUGUUUAAACUGGAAGAUCAGAUGAACCAGGGUUUGACAAACUCAUGGCCUACCUUGAUGCUUCUACUUAGAGGACCAAACAUAUGUGGAGACUAUUGAAAUUGGCCAUGUUCACUUUACCUUAUUUCCCAAGCUUGAUAACUUGUGCUCCCAAGAACCUAUAAAGCUGGCCUGCCUUUGUUGCUGCUUUGCAAUACUAGUUCUUGUCAUUAUAACUAGAACUAUGAUGCUUUUGUGAUCCUCUGGAAGCUGUAUAAGCUUACUAGCUUUUUUUUCCCCCCUUCGCUUGCCCUUUUUUUAAUCGUCUGUAGCACGAAUUUGUGUUUAUUUGAAUUUAAUGAUGUUAAUUCUGAUUAAGCUGAUCAUAUACGUAAAAGAUUGGUGGUGGUUUGUUGUCUGAAUUUCAUGUAUUGACACCUUUAUCAAUCACCGUAAGUAGGUAA